GGGCCUAAGUCUUUUUGAGAAGGGCUAGCCUACAAUAUUUUUUUUCAAUUUUUAUGACAGCCUUGAAAGUUAUAAAGAGUUGCUUUCACAUUAUUCAUUGUUAUGAUUAAGUAUGUCGAGUAAACAGCUCUUAAAUCUUC